UAAGUUCGUAUUGUGAUGAAUGUGUUACAUCACUUAAAAUGGCUGUAGUUGAGGCCAAGGAAGAAUGGUGCUGUUGCUGAUUUUCCGCCAGGAAACGUGAAAUUUGCAGAUGUUUAUGGGCGUGGAAGAUCUUCCGAAAAUCCUCUACACUCUAGUUGGGGUAAACAACACUCUUCUGGUGAUUGAGAUGAAGCAGUUAAAGAGUUGACAGCAGUGCCACGUCAACAGUUGUAUUGGCAUUGAUAUCGAAAGUAUCUUCACUGCCCUCAUCUGUGAGAGAGAGGGAGCAGAAUGAGGAAGAUUUCUGGUAAUGGUGCUUGGAAAAAGAGACUUCCGAGGUUUUUAACAACAGGCUUUCAUUCUGGACUCAGGCAACAUUGUGAAUGAUGGAGAUUAUCGGCAGUCAACCAAAUAGUUCACAAUGCUUUCACUGUUUUGUGGGAGGAGCUACUUGAUAAAUUCGUGCCAGGUCCAAACAGUUGGAAAGAAUGGCAAAAUAAUUCUAUAGAUGCCAAAAGCACUUUUCUGUUGGAGCUGCUGAUGCUAAGAAAAGAUUGAUCACCAUUGUGGUAGAGGCAGGAGGAAAGCAGAGGGGCAGAGGAACUUUGUCAAGAGCAGAAUAUCGUGGAGCGCGUAGAGGAUUGGCCCAAGAUGAAGAUAUCAAGGAAAAAUUUGCUAGCUGUAUUUCAUAAGUAAUUUAUCAUGGGUUAAUACUUAAAAAUGGGUUCAAAAUAUCUUAUAUAAUGAGGAUAAUCAUAGGAGAAAAUGUGUAUACAUUGUGCCCUGAUAUAAAUAAAGUUUCUCACAAUUAUGUAAACAGACCAGAUAUUUUGCAUAAGUAUUGCAUUUUUAUAUUUUGUAUUCCUUUGACAGAAGAAAGUGGCAUCUAUAUACCUCCACAUGUACUUCAAAUAUAUGUUCAUAAUAAAGGUAUAACUACAACUGAA